rnacentral:tRNA from 1 species
GACCAGGUAGCUCAGUUGGUAGAGCAUCUCCCUUUUAAGGAGAGGGUCCUGGGUUCGAGCCCCAGCCUGGUCACUA